rnacentral:rRNA from 1 species
UACGUAGGGUGCAAGCGUUGUCCGGAAUUAUUGGGCGUAAAGAGCGUGUAGGCGGCCCGAUUAGUCCGCUGUGAAAGUCCAGGGCUCAACCCUGGAAUGCCGGUGGAUACUGUCGGGCUAGAGUCCGGAAGGGGCGAGUGGAAUUCCUGGUGUAGCGGUGAAAUGCGCAGAUAUCAGGAGGAACACCAAUGGCGAAGGCAGCUCGCUGGGACGUGACUGACGCUGAGACGCGAAAGCGUGGGGAGCAAACAGA